rnacentral:rRNA from 1 species
CCAGCCCGCUCAGAACUCAAAGGAUUGACGGGGCCCGCACAAGCGGAGGAGCAUGUGGUUUAAUUCGAUGAUACGCGAGGAACCUUACCUGGGCUCGAACGUAAGAUGACUGUAGGUGAAAGCUUACAUCUCUUCGGAGCAUUUUACGAGGUGCUGCAUGGUUGUCGUCAGCUCGUGCCGUGAGGUGUCGGGUUAAGUCCCAUAACGAGCGCAACCCCUACCUUUAGUUGCCAUCAGGUUAAGCUGGGGACUCUAAAGGAACUGCCUACGCAAGUAGUGAGGAAGGCGGGGAUGACGUCAAAUCAGCACGGCCCUUACGUCCAGGGCUACACACGUGCUACAAUGGCCGAUACAGAGGGCAGCUACCUGGUGACAGGAUGCAAAUCUCCAAAGUCGGUCUCAGUUCGGAUCGGAGUCUGCAACCCGACUCCGUGAAGUUGGAUUCGCUAGUAAUCGCGCAUCAGCCAUGGCGCGGUGAAUACGUUCCCGGGCCUU